AUUGAACGCUGGCGGCAUGCCUUACACAUGCAAGUCGAACGGCAGCACGGGUGCUUGCACCUGGUGGCGAGUGGCGAACGGGUGAGUAAUACAUCGGAACGUACCUUAUCGUGGGGGAUAACGCAGCGAAAGCUGUGCUAAUACCGCAUACGCCCUGAGGGGGAAAGCGGGGGAUCGCAAGACCUCGCGCGAUUAGAGCGGCCGAUGCCUGAUUAGCUAGUUGGUGGGGUAAAAGCCCACCAAGGCGACGAUCAGUAGCUGGUCUGAGAGGACGAUCAGCCACACUGGGACUGGGACACGGCCCAGACUCCUACGGGAGGCAGCAGUGGGGAAUUUUGGACAAUGGGGGCAACCCUGAUCCAGCAAUGCCGCGUGAGUGAAGAAGGCCUUCGGGUUGUAAAGCUCUUUUGUCAGGGAAGAAACACCGGCUCUAACACAGUCCGGGAAUGACGGUACCUGAAGAAUAAGCACCGGCUAACUACGUGCCAGCAGCCGCCGUAA
rnacentral:rRNA from 1 species